GGCGAGUGAGCGGCAAAAGCUCAAAUUUGAAAUCUAGCACCUUCGGUGUUCGAGUUGUAAUUUGAAGAUGGUAACCUUGGGUUUGGCUCUUGUCUAUGUUCCUUGGAACAGGACGUCAUAGAGGGUGAGAAUCCCGUCUGAUGAGAUGCCCAUUCCUAUGUAAGGUGCUAUCGAAGAGUCGAGUUGUUUGGGAAUGCAGCCUCUAAGUGGGUGGUAAAUUCCAUCUAAAGCUAAAUAUUGGCGAGAGACCGAUAGCGAACAAGUACAGUGAUGGAAAGAUGAAAAGAACUUUGAAAAGAGAGUGAAAAAGUACGUGAAAUUGUUGAAAGGGAAGGGCAUUAGAUCAGACUUGGUGUUUUACGAUUAUCUUCUCUUCUUGAGUUGUGCACUCGUAUUUCACUGGGCCAGCAUCGAUUCGGAUGGCAAGAUAAUGGCAGUUGAAUGUGGCUUCACUUCGGUGGAGUGUUAUAGCUUCUGCUGAUAUUGCCUGUCUGGAUCGAGGGCUGCGUCUUUUGACUAGGAUGCUGGCGUAAUGAUCUAAUGCCGCCCGUCUU
rnacentral:rRNA from 1 species